rnacentral:rRNA from 1 species
UGGGGAAUCUUGCGCAAUGCGCGAAAGCGUGACGCAGCAACGCCGCGUGAGGGAAGACGGCCUUCGGGUUGUAAACCUCUUUCAGAUGGGACGAAGCCUCGUCAGUUAAUAGCUGGCUGAGGUGACGGUACCGUCACAAGAAGCCCCGGCUAACUACGUGCCAGCAGCCGCGGUAAUACGUAGGGGGCAAGCGUUGUCCGGAAUCAUUGGGCGUAAAGAGCGUGUAGGCGGUUCAGUAAGUCUGCUGUAAAAGUCCAGGGCUCAACCCUGGAAAGUCGGUGGAUACUGCUGAACUAGAGUCCGGAAGAGGCGAGUGGAAUUCCUGGUGUAGCGGUGAAAUGCGCAGAUAUCAGGAGGAACACCAAUAGCGAAGGCAGCUCGCUGGGACGGUACUGACGCUGAGACGCGAAAGCGUGGGGAGCAAACAG